rnacentral:rRNA from 1 species
UACGGAGGGAGCUAGCGUUUGUUCGGAAUUACUGGGCGUAAAGCGCACGUAGGCGGCUUUGUAAGUUAGAGGUGAAAGCCCGGGGCUCAACCCCGGAAUUGCCUUUAAGACUGCAUCGCUCGAAGUCCGGGAGAGGUGAGUGGAAUUCCGAGUGUAGAGGUGUAAAUUCGUAGAUAUUCGAAGAACACCAGUGGCGAAGGGCGGCUCACUGGACCGGUAGUUGGACG